GAUGUGAACUGAAUGCUAGAGAAAAGAGUGGUAUGGGAAUAAAAGAGAGAGAGGCAAAAUUAGAAAGAAUGAGAAAAAUACUUCAACUGAAAAUGCAACUGUAAAUGGAACAGAAAAUGGAACAGAAAAUGGAUAAUGGAAAGACUUUGAUUUAGCUUGUAGAAAUUUAUUGAUUUUAGCUUUCAUUCAUAUUGGAUAUGAAAUGGUAUUCCCUUUUUCAAGGUUAAAACUAAAAAGAUUUGUAAAUAUAAAAUAUAUUGAGUGAUUUUUUUUUUUUACUGUGGCUCAUAUUUCAAACUGAAUCUCAAGAAAUCAAUCUACUUUAAAAAAGCGAAGGAGAAAAUACUAAUAUAUUGAGAUCGAUUUUCAGGAAAUGUAUAUAUAAGUAAGAUGGAGUAAAAAUAAAAGAAAGCUAGAAAGCAGCUUAGUUGUGUUGAAUUGAGCACUCCAGCAAAUUCCCAGUGGCAUUGCACGACUCGGAUCAGAUCCAUGUAUUUAGAUUAGGUUUCAUUAUACUUUUAUAGCAUGUGAUUGGUCGUGCAAGCCGCACAACGCUGUAGACAUCAGAAGCUCUUCACUCACUCUCGAGUUGGGUUGUCUAGCGAUAAGACGGUUCUCCAGUUCUGCCAAUCCACCUCCAUCGUCAAGCGUCAUCAUCGUUGACGAUCAGAUCAGCAUUCAACGCAUCUAUCCGUCACCCCGCGAGACCGUGGCACCCCAUCUUCAUCCCCACAGCAGCAGCAUCAGCAGGAGUAGGAGUAGGAGGAGCGGCAACAAGGAGAAGAGCAUCUCCUCUGCAAGACAAACACCUGAGAAGUCGAUUUCUGCACGCAACAACUCCGUCUCACAUCCGACAUCCAACAAUGGCUAAGGACGGGAACAAGGAUU